CACGUAGGGCGCAAGCGUUGUCCGGAAUUAUUGGGCGUAAAGAGCUCGUAGGCGGACUGUUGCGUCCGCUGUGAAAAGCUGGGGCUUAACCCUGGCCUUGCAGUGGAUACGGGCAGACUAGAGGUAGGUAGGGGAGAAUGGAAUUCCCGGUGUAGCGGUGAAAUGCGCAGAUAUCAGGAGGAACACCUAUUGCGAAGGCAGCUCGCUGGGACGUAACUGACGCUGAGACGCGAAAGCGUGGGGAGCAAACAGG
rnacentral:rRNA from 1 species